GACGAACGCUGGCGGCGUGCUUAACACAUGCAAGUCGAACGGAAAGGCCCUGCUUUUGUGGGGUGCUCGAGUGGCGAACGGGUGAGUAACACGUGAGUAACCUGCCCUUGACUUUGGGAUAACUUCAGGAAACUGGGGCUAAUACCGGAUAGGAGCUCCUGCUGCAUGGUGGGGGUUGGAAAGUUUCGGCGGUUGGGGAUGGACUCGCGGCUUAUCAGCUUGUUGGUGGGGUAGUGGCUUACCAAGGCUUUGACGGGUAGCCGGCCUGAGAGGGUGACCGGCCACAUUGGGACUGAGAUACGGCCCAGACUCCUACGGGGGGCAGCAGUGGGGAAUAUUGCACAAUGGGCGGAAGCCUGAUGCAGCAACGCCGCGUGCGGGAUGACGGCCUUCGGGUUGUAAACCGCUUUCGCCUGUGACGAAGCGUGAGUGACGGUAAUGGGUAAAGAAGCACCGGCUAACUACGUGC
rnacentral:rRNA from 1 species